UUCUGGUUUGAGGCCCCAAAAAUAAUACAUACAAAAUAUGGCAUUUUGGGUCAUUCGCUGAGCAGUUGGAUAUGAAAUGAAGAGGAAAUGAAGAGGACCUACAGCUGAACUCCAGAAAAGGGAUACUGACCCUUAAAUUAACAGAUACUGACUGGAAUCAAAAGCAGUGCACAUAAAUUGGCUCUUGGUUGAAUUCUGGACAAUGCAGAAAUUAGGAGCAACACCAGGUAGCAGCCUGGCUUAUGAAAAGAACUCUGUGAGAGCUAAGAGGCAUUUAAGUCAUCUAUCCUGAUGAACAAAUAAACAUUUACACAAUGGAGUACUACACGGCUCUAAAAAAGGAUGAAUUGGCAUCAUUGGUAAGAACAUGGAUAGACCUAGAGAUCAUAACACUGAAGGAAGAAAAUCAGAUGAAGGGGUUAAGUAUUGUGUGGCUUGUCUAAUAUGAGAGAUCCAAAAUAUAAAUAAU